rnacentral:misc_RNA from 1 species
GAUGAAGAACGCAGCGAAAUGCGAUAAGUAAUGCGAAUUGCAGAAUUCAGUGAAUCAUCGAGUCUUUGAACGCACAUUGCGCCCCCUGGUAUUCCGGGGGGCAUGCCUGUCCGAGCGUCAUUGCUGCCCUCAAGCACGGCUUGUGUGUUGGGCCUCCGUCCUCCUCCCGGGGGACGGGCCCGAAAGGCAGCGGCGGCACCGCAUCCGGUCCUCGAGCGUAUGGGGCUUCGUCACCCGCUCUUGUAGGCCCGGCCGGCGCUUGCCGACACAUCAAUCUUUUUUCCAGGUUGACCUCGGAUCAGGUAGGGAUACCCGCUGAACUUAAGCAUAUCAAUAAGCGGAGGA